AAUGAACGCUGGCGGCGUGCCUAACACAUGCAAGUCGCACGAGAAGGGGGCCGCAAGGUCCCUUGUAAAGUGGCGAACGGGUGAGUGACGCGUAGGUAACCUGCUCUCGAGUGGGGAAUAACCUGGCGAAAGCCGGGCUAAUACCGCAUAACAUCUCUGGACCCUGCGUCCGGAGCGCAAAGGUGGCGAGCUUCGAGCGCUGCCGCUUGAGAAGGGGCCUGCGUCCCAUAGCUAGUUGGCGGGGUAACGGCCCACCAAGGCGACGAUGGGUGGCCGGGCUGAGAGGCUGUCCGGUCACACUGGAACUGAGACACGGUCCAGACUCCUACGGGAGGCAGCAGUGGGGAAUAUUGCGCAAUGGGGGAAACCCUGACGCAGCGACGCCGCGUGGGCGAUGAAGGCCUU
rnacentral:rRNA from 1 species